CAAGACCUUGCGCUCUUGGAACGGCCGAUGUCUGAUUAGCUAGUUGGUGAGGUAAUGGCUUACCAAGGCGACGAUCAGUAGCUGGUCUGAGAGGACGACCAGCCACACUGGGACUGAGACACGGCCCAGACUCCUACGGGAGGCAGCAGUGGGGAAUUUUGGACAAUGGGGGAAACCCUGAUCCAGCCAUGCCGCGUGAGUGAAGAAGGCCUUCGGGUUGUAAAGCUCUUUCAGCCGGAACGAAACGGUCACGGCUAAUAUCCGUGACUACUGACGGUACCGGAAGAAGAAGCACCGGCUAACUACGUGCCAGCAGCCGCGGUAAUACGUAGGGUGCGAGCGUUAAUCGGAAUUACUGGGCGUAAAGCGUGCGCAGGCGGUUUUGUAAGUCAAGACGUGAAAGCCCCGGGCUUAACCUGGGAACU
rnacentral:rRNA from 1 species